GAAUGCCAUCAUAUCAAAAAAAAUUAUUAUUUAUAUGUAAAAGAAGUGGCCUCAUGUGGGUGGAUAAGACCAAAAUAAAGGUGGACUGCUUCAGAAGGAAUUACAAAUAAGAAAAGAAGGGGUUUGGAUUCCAAAGAAUCAGGAGCAAGGUGGUGAAAUGAGAGUUUUCAACCAUCAUCCCGACACAGAUAAACAUAACUUUGUGGGAGCCCAGAGUCUAAUGGAAAAGUUCAAGCACAACACUGGAGCAAGAGAUACUUGAGAAAGUUCUGGAAAAUCUAAUGUACACAUGGUGACUGUAUUUAACAAUAUUGUAUUGUACACUUGAGAUUUACCAGCACCUGGUACAGUCAGAAGUACGGGAAGGUGAGAGGAUUCACCAGAGACAGAGCGGGGAACAGAACAGGCAGACCAACGAAGUACACUUGCUGAGGGGAGCAGGGGGUGCUGCAGGAGAGGUUUGUGCGCCAUGUGGACCCUCACCCGGCGGCUGGGUAUUGAACUGGCACUUCAGAGGCUGCGGGAAGCUUUGCAGCCCAGCGCUCAACUGCUGUACCACUGUGGAGGUCCGAAAU